rnacentral:piRNA from 1 species
UGUUCCUUUGGGGCUCUUGUGACCUCCCUGUC